CCGGAAUGAUUGGGCGUAAAGCGUCCGCAGGUGGCAGUUCAAGUCUGCUGUCAAAGACCGGGGCUUAACCUCGGAAAGGCAGUGGAAACUGAACAGCUAGAGUAUGGUAGGGGCAAAGGGAAUUCCUGGUGUAGCGGUGAAAUGCGUAGAGAUCAGGAAGAACAUCGGUGGCGAAGGCGCUUUGCUGGACCAUAACUGACACUCAGGGACGAAAGCUAGGGGAGCGAAUGGGAUUAGAUACCCCAGUAGUCCUAGCCGUAAACGAUGGAUACUAGGUGUUGUCUGUAUCGACCCGGACAGUGCCGUAGCUAACGCGUUAAGUAUCCCGCCUGGGGAGUACGCAGGCAACUGUGAAACUCAAAGGAAUUGACGGGGGCCCGCACAAGCGGUAAUCGAA
rnacentral:rRNA from 1 species